rnacentral:rRNA from 1 species
CCUACGGGAGGCAGCAGUGGGGAAUCUUGCACAAUGGGGGAAACCCUGAUGCAGCGACGCCGCGUGCGUGAAGACGUAAUUCGUUAUGUAAAGCUCUAUCAGUAGGGAAGUAAAUGACGUUACCUGUGUAAGAAUCACCGGCUAACUACGUGCCAGCCGCCGCGGUAAUACGUCGGGGGCAAGCGUUAUCCGGAUUUACUGGGUGUAAAGGGAGCGUAGACGGCAGUGCAAGUCUGGAGUGAAAGGCCGGGGCGCAACCCCCGGACUGUGCUGGAAACUGUACGGCUUGAGUGCAGGGGAGGUAAGUGGAAUUCCUGGUGUAGCGGUGAAAUGCGUAGAUAUUAGGAGGAACACCAGUGGCGAAGGCGGCUUACUGGACUGUAACUGACGUUGAGGCUCGAAAGCGUGGGGAGCAAACAGGAUUAGAUACCCGGGUAGUC